rnacentral:rRNA from 1 species
CACGUAGGGGCCAAGCGUUGUCCGGAUUCAUUGGGCGUAAAGAGCUCGUAGGCGGUUCAGUUAGUCGGGUGUGAAGUCUCCGGGCUCAACCCGGAGGGGCCACCCGAUACUGCUGUGACUCGAGUCCGGUAGGGGAGUGGGGAAUUCCUGGUGUAGCGGUGAAAUGCGCAGAUAUCAGGAGGAACACCGGUGGCGAAGGCGGCUCUCUGGACAGACACUGACGCUGAGACGCGAAAGCAUGGGGAGCAAACAGG